UACGUAGGAUGCUAGCGUUGUCCGGAUUUACUGGGCGUAAAGAGCGCGCAGGCGGCACCUCAAGUACUCUCUGAAAUCCACCUGCUCAACGGGUGGGGUGGAGAGUAGACUGAGGAGCUAGAGAGAGGUAGAGGGGGGUAGAAUUGCUGGUGUAGCGGUGAAAUGCGUAGAGAUCAGCAGGAAUACCCGUGGCGAAGGCGGCCCCCUGGGCCUCUUCUGACGCCGAGGCGCGAAGGCUGGGGGAGCGAACGGGAUUAGAUACCCCGGUAGUCCCAGCAGUAAACGAUGACCACUAGGUGUGGGGGGUGUUGACCCCUUCCGUGCCGAAGCCAACGCAUUAAGUGGUCCGCCUGGGGAGUACGGUCGCAAGACUAAA
rnacentral:rRNA from 1 species